rnacentral:rRNA from 1 species
UACGUAGGGUGCUAGCGUUGUCCGGAAUUAUUGGGCGUAAAGAGCUCGUAGGUGGUUUGCUGCGUCCGCUGUGAAAACCCAAGGCUUAACCUUGGGCUUGCAGUGGAUACGGGCAGACUAGAGGUAGGUAGGGGAGAGUGGAAUUCCCAGUGUAGAGGUGAAAUUCGUAGAUAUUGGGAAGAACACCGGUGGCGAAGGCGGCUCUCUGGACCGAGACUGACGCUGAGGCGCGAAAGCGUGGGGAGCAAACAGG